rnacentral:rRNA from 1 species
UACGGGGGGGCAAGCGUUGUUCGGAAUUACUGGGCGUAAAGGGCUCGUAGGCGGCCAACUAAGUCAGACGUGAAAUCCCUCGGCUUAACCGGGGAACUGCAUCUGAUACUGGAUGGCUUGAGUUCGGGAGAGGGAUGCGGAAUUCCAGGUGUAGCGGUGAAAUGCGUAGAUAUCGGGAGGAACACCUGUGGCGAAGGCGACCCCCUGGUUGGAUACUGACGCUGAGACGCGAAAGCGUGGGGAGCAAACAGG